CAAUAGCGUAUAUUAAAGUUGUUGCGGUUAAAAAGCUCGUAGUUGGAUUUCUGCUGAGAACGACCGGUCCGCCCUCUGGGUGUGUAUCUGGCUCUUUCUUGGCAUCUUCUUGGUGAACGUUGCUGCACUUGACUGUGUGGAGCGCUACCCAGGACUUUUACUUUGAGGAAAUUAGAGUGUUUCAAGCAGGCAUACGCCUUGAAUACAUUAGCAUGGAAUAAUAAGAUAGGACCUCGGUUCUAUUUUGUUGGUUUCUAGAGCUGAGGUAAUGAUUAAUAGGGAUAGUUGGGGGCAUUCGUAUUUAACUGUCAGAGGUGAAAUUCUUGGAUUUGUUAAAGACGGACUACUGCGAACGCAUUUGCCAAGGAUGUUUUCAUUGA
rnacentral:rRNA from 1 species